GAUGAACGCUCGCGAUAGGCUUAACACAUGCAAGUCGAGGGGCAGCAUGGUCUUAGCUUGCUAAGACUGAUGGCGACCGGCGCACGGGUGCGUAACGCGUAUGCAACUUGCCUCACAGAGGGGGAUAACCCGUCGAAAGACGGACUAAUACCGCGUACACUCCAUCUUGGGCAUCCAAGGUAGAGGAAAUGAAAUUCGCUGUGAGAUAGGCAUGCGUCCCAUUAGCUAGUUGGUGAGGUAACGGCUCACCAAGGCGACGAUGGGUAGGGGAACUGAGAGGUUGAACCCCCACACUGGUACUGAGACACGGACCAGACUCCUACGGGAGGCAGCAGUGAGGAAUAUUGGUCAAUGGGCGAGAGCCUGAACCAGCCAAGUCGCGUGAAGGAUGACUUUCUUAUGGAUUGUAAACUUCUUUUAGACGGGAAUAACAAGAGUCACGUGUGACUCCCUGCAUGUACCGUAUGAAUAAGCAUCGGCUAACUCCGUG
rnacentral:rRNA from 1 species